UUUAUGAAAUAAUCCCACUUUACUGGAAGAUUCCAUCGUAUAUUUACGAAAUAUACGAACAAUUUGACAGUCGAAUGAUACCAAAAAAAAGCAUUCAUUAAAAAGGAAUACAAUUGAAGAAAGCCAGAAAUAGGCUGAGAAUCUGUGAGAGGGUACUGAAUCUGUCCUUCGUGGAAAUUUUAAAUAUUCCCUGAAGAAGGGUUCUGCAAACAGCAAAAUAACAGGCAAUUUAAUGGAUAUCGAAAAGUUGCAGGAUAAUCUGCCGGUGAAUAAGGGCCAUUUGCUUCUUUCAUCGGAGAAGAAGAAAACUGGACUGGUGUUGGUGGACCUUGUCAAUGGCUUCUGCACUACUGGCUCUGGCAAUCUGAUUUCCUGGCUCAAAUCAAAAGAAAUUUAAGAUGAUAAAGAAACAUCAACCUGAGGAAUGCGCUUUUAAAGAAAAUGUUAUCUGUCUGUUUGAAAUUUAAUCGAUUGGAAGAAAAAAAAAACUGUAAAUGAUACCCUGGAAUCUGGAUCUGUGUCUUGAUUUUUUAAAGUUUUGUUGGAUUCACGAGCCAACAAAAAGUUAGGCAGGAACUCAGGAAAACAAGGGCAAUUUGAAUUUUCAAAACUC